AUACGUAGCCGACCUGAGAGGGUGAUCGGCCACACUGGAACUGAGACACGGUCCAGACUCCUACGGGAGGCAGCAGUAGGGAAUCUUCCGCAAUGGGCGAAAGCCUGACGGAGCAACGCCGCGUGAGUGAUGAAGGUCUUCGGAUCGUAAAACUCUGUUAUCAGGGAAGAACAAACGUGUAAGUAACUGUGCACGUCUUGACGGUACCUGAUCAGAAAGCCACGGCUAACUACGUGCCAGCAGCCGCGGUAAUACGUAGGUGGCAAGCGUUAUCCGGAAUUAUUGGGCGUAAAGCGCGCGUAGGCGGUUUUUUAAGUCUGAUGUGAAAGCCCACGGCUCAACCGUGGAGGGUCAUUGGAAACUGGAAAACUUGAGUGCAGAAGAGGAAAGUGGAAUUCCAUGUGUAGCGGUGAAAUGCGCAGAGAUAUGGAGGAACACCAGUGGCGAAGGCGACUUUCUGGUCUGUAACUGACGCUGAUGUGCGAAAGCGUGGGGAUCAA
rnacentral:rRNA from 1 species